UCUUUAAAAAAGAAAAGAAAAAAAAACUCUUUUCUCUCCCUUCUUCUUCUUCCUCCCCCCAACGUGAAGACCCUCUCUAUGUGCCCUAGCAGCCGCUGGCCAUCUCCUCUCCAACCGGCAUCGCACGUCUGACCGCCAUCAAUUCGUCGAUCAUUCGUCCGUGGGCCGUCGUUCGCACAGGUCAGCUCAAUCUCGCCAGCAAGUAGCGAUCGUCCAGAUCUUCUUCGUCGCAUGCCAAUCUUGCCCAGUCGGUUAGAUUCACAUCUGCAAGUUGCCGUCAAUUGUCUAGCUGCUUCGUUCAUGGGUUGUCGUGCCAUCAGCCAAGGUCUGAAGCCGAAUGACCUAGCCCAGCCAUCGAAACUUCCGCCGUGAACCGUUCCUUCGUCCAGUCAUCUGAUUCGUGUGACCCACCGCCGAAUCCAGCUGACCGCCUCCCUCGUGCCGCGCGAUGCCGCUCAUUGUUCGUAAAGUGAAGUCGCGCCACCGUGAGUCACCGUCGCUCCAACUUUUGACCACCGUCUAUUGCCGCACUGCCUAUGUUCUGUUUCGUGGGUCUUCGUCGGACUCUUAGAUUUUGAUUUGAGCUUGGGAGAUUACAGCAGCGACUGUUCAGCACAUUCAAGAUCGUUCGACAAGAGUUUUGAUUUCAAGUUGUCAUCCAUUGGGAUUUAAAAUCUGUUAGAAGGAGAUUUUGGAGUGGUUGUUGAUCAAAUUCUUUGGGGUUGUUACUUCAACUUGCGAUCAUCGUUUGGUUGUCGGAGUUUAUCUGUGGAUCUUCGAUUAAGGUAAGUAAUCUUACCACUAGAACUACCCACAGGCCAGAGUUGUAUGCUAGCAUGAUAAGUGUGUGUUAUGGUAAAUGUUAGCAUGUUGAUUGAUAGUAUGACCUGAAUCAAAGUAUGUUCUGGCACAAAUUCUGAUUUGUUUACAUACACACCUAAGUGCUUG